rnacentral:sRNA from 1 species
UAUACCGCAGCUGCUACCUCAGCCUCGAG